UGUCUGGGCGGCUGUGUGGGGAGCCUUCGGGCUCGCCGGUUUGCCUUUUGGCCGGUUCGCCAACCCGCACGGUCGCCCUUUUU
rnacentral:antisense_RNA from 1 species